GACGAACGCUGGCGGCGUGCCCAAUACAUGCAAGUAGAACGCACAGUUUAUACCGUAGCUUGCUACACCAUAGACUGUGAGUUGCGAACGGGUGAGUAACGCGUAGGUAACCUGCCUGGUAGCGGGGGAUAACUAUUGGUAACGAUAGCUAAUACCGCAUAAUAUUAAUUAUUCCAUGAUAAUUAAUUGAAAGGUGCAAUUGCACCACUACUAGAUGGACCUGCGUUGUAUUAGCUAGUAGGUGAGGUAACGGCCCACCUAGGCGGCGAUACAUAGCCGAGCUGGGAAGGUGGUGCGCCAAAAUGGGAAUGAGAAACGGCCCAGACUCCUACGGGGGGCAGCAGUAGGGAAUCUUCGGCAAUGGACGAAAGUCUGGCCGAGCCACGCCGGGUGAGGGAAGAAGGUUUUCGGAUCGUAAAGCUCUGUUGUAAGAGAAGAACGGGUGGGAGGGUGGAAAGUUCACACUGUGACGGUAUCUUACCAGAAAGGGACGGCUAACUACGUG
rnacentral:rRNA from 1 species